GGAAUAUAAGAACUUGUCUCUUAACUUUUAACUAAAAAAGUUAAGAACCGGUUCUUAAAUAAGAGUUUUAAGAGCCGGUUCUUAAUUUUUUUAGUUAAAAGUUAAGAGACAGGUUCUUAUAUUCC
rnacentral:pre_miRNA from 1 species